rnacentral:rRNA from 1 species
AGUGAACGCUGGCGGCGUGCUUAACACAUGCAAGUCGAACGAGAACGGAAUAUAGCUUGCUAUAUUUGUCAGCUAAGUGGCGCACGGGUGAGUAAUGUAUAGAUAACCUGCCCUUAAGAAAGGAAUAACAGUUGGAAACGACUGCUAAUGCCCUAUAUGCCUUUAAUACAUAAGUAUGCAAGGGAAACGCUUUAGUGCUUAAGGAUGGGUCUGUAUGGUAUCAGCUUGUUGGUGAGGUAAUGGCUCACCAAGGCUAUGACGCCUAACUGGUUUGAGAGGAUGAUCAGUCACACCGGAACUGAGACACGGUCCAGACUCCUACGGGAGGCAGCAGUGGGGAAUAUUGCACAAUGGACGAAAGUCUGAUGCAGCAACGCCGCGUGGAGGAUGACACAUUUCGGUGCGUAAACUCUUUUUAUAUAGGAAGAUAAUGACGGUACUAUAUGAAUAAGCACCGGCUAACUCCGUGCCAGCCGCCGCAGUAA